GGCCCCUAGAUGGAAUGACCGUGUCGGCACGUGAGCGGUGAUGGAUUCGCAUGCCACGGCGGGCUCCCUGCCACUGUGCAGCCAACCGGCGUCGCUGCAGCCCCCUCACUCGUGCUCCAACCACUCGGAGCCNCCCGCGUUGCCUGUACAACAUACUCGGUUCUCGGGCAAAUGACUUCGUCCGACACGCUCGUCCGCUCCCCUCGCCUUUGUGCGGGCGCGGAGCGGCAACGUCGGCGGUCCUCGUGCUCCCUCGGACGACGGCACGGCUUUGGCCCCUCGUCUCGUCCCGAUCGGCCCUCGAGGAUUCGCCAGCGCUCGCGGACACGGUAGACAAUGUUGGCUCGGGGCCUUCGUAGCCCCCGCACCACGAUCGGUCGGCUCACUUCGCCGCCCUCGACGAGACGACCGUCGNGCCCGUCGUCCCCCCACCACUC
rnacentral:misc_RNA from 1 species